UCACUUGCAAGUAAUACACCACUGGAUAUGCCUUUUUUCUGAUUUCCCACCUCAGACCGAACCUAGUUGCAGACAAAGUGGCUUGAAAGGACCUCAACUACUCAGAGUAAAAUCAUGGUUUAAUCAAUCAACCAGAACCCAAUACACUUCUUGGAUUCCCGUUUAACAAUCAUAUGUAUUUGGAGGAAUUAGGACAAGCGACUCCCUGGAGGUCUCUGAAACCAUGUCAGUCAGCGUCCACGAAAACCGUAAGUCCCGGACCAGCACGGGCUCCAUGAACAUCUCUCUGUUCCAUAAGCCUUCACAUCCAGACAGCGUGCUCACCCACCUCAACACCCUCCGCAAGCAGUGCAUGUUCACUGACGUGACGCUGUGGGCGGGGGACCGCUCCUUCCCCUGCCAUCGGGCGGUACUAGCCGCAUGCAGCCGCUACUUUGAGGCGAUGUUCAGCGGCGGGCUCCGUGAGACCCUGGACAACGAGGUGAACUUCAGAGACAGUGUACAUCCAGAGGUGUUGGAGCUGCUGCUGGACUUUGCCUACUCGUCACGUGUCAUCAUCAACGAGGAGAACGCAGAGUCGUUGCUGGAGGCGGGAGACAUGCUGCAGUUCCAUGACAUCAGAGAUGCUGCUGCGGAGUUCCUGGAGAAGAACCUGCACUUGUCCAACUGCCUGGGUAUGAUGCUACUCUCUGAUGCCCACCAGUGCAAACAGCUAUAUGAACUCUCCUGGAGGAUGUGCCUGGUGCACUUUGAGGCGUUGCGGGACACAGAGGACUUCUACGGCCUCAACAAAGACAAGCUGCUGGACCUGAUCCUCAGCGAUGAGCUGGAGAUCGAGGACGAGCAUAUCGUGUUCAACGCUGUGAUGCGCUGGGUGCGCUACGACCUGGACGGCCGCAGAGACUACCUCCCUGAGCUGCUGGGUGGCAUCCGCCUGGCCCUGCUGCCCUCUGAGUGUCUGAUCGAGGCAGUGGCCUGCGAGGAGCUGGUGAUGUCAGAUAAGAGGAGCCGGCAGAUAGUCGAGGAGGCCAUGCAGUGCAAGAAGAAGAUCCUGCAAAACGAUGGGGUGGUCACCAGCCCCUGUGCCCGGCCCCGCAAGGCAGGCCACACGCUGCUCAUCCUGGGAGGACAGACCUUCAUGUGUGAUAAGAUCUACCAGGUGGACCACAAAGCCAAGGAGAUCAUCCCCAAGUCGGACUUGCCAAGUCCCAGGAAAGAGUUCAGUGCCUGUGCAAUUGGCUGUAAGGUCUACGUGACUGGGGGGAGGGGUUCUGAGAACGGGGUGUCCAAGGAUGUUUGGAUCUAUGACACGGUCCACGAGGAGUGGUCUAAAGGAGCACCCAUGUUGAUAGCACGGUUCGGCCAUGGUUCGGCUGAACUGGAGAACUGGCUGUAUGUGGUGGGUGGCCACACUGCCAUAGCAGGCAUCUUCCCUGCCUCCCCCUCAGUCUCCCUCAAACAAGUAGAGCGGUAUGACCCACUCACCAACAAAUGGACCAUGAUGGCGCCACUCAGAGAUGGUGUUAGCAAUGCAGCAGUGGUCAGCGCCAAGCUAAAGCUGUUUGUGUUUGGUGGCACCACCAUACACAGAGACAAGGCCUCCAAGGUGCAGUGCUACGACCCUCUAGAGAACCGCUGGGCCAUCGCAGCAGAAUGUCCGCAACCGUGGAGAUACACAGCCGCUGCUGUUCUGGGCAGCCAGAUCUUCAUAAUGGGCGGAGACACUGAGUUCACCGCCGCCUCCGCCUACCGCUUUGACUGUGAGACCAACCAGUGGUCUCGUGUUGGGGACAUGACUUCUAAAAGAAUGAGCUGCCAUGCGGUGGCCUCUGGAAACAAACUGUACGUGGUGGGGGGCUACUUUGGGACGCAGCGCUGCAAGACUCUAGACUGUUAUGACCCCACGUCUGAUAGCUGGAACAGUAUAACCACAGUGCCUUACUCACUAAUUCCCACUGCGUUCGUAAGCACCUGGAAACAUCUACCUGCCUAGCAGCCUUGACAUGAACAAGGAGUGGUCUCCAGAACUGGGGACUAAAGAGGGCACCUGAUUGGCAUUUCACGCAAUUGGCUUAGCAGGAGGUUGAAGGACAUCCCACCCUGACACCUGGGCAGAUGUGAAGAACUUGGGAACCCCCCAGCCACCAGGACAAUCACCAUGUCCCAGGAUUAUUUUCAGAGAUGUCACAUGUUUCCGGCCAUAGUGACUAGCAGAGGCUUGCUGGGGCUUCCCUGCUGUAGACCAACGAGAUGUGUCCAGCGAGUGAAGGGUUUGGUUCUGCCAGGGUCGACCAGCUAUAGCUGUUCCACCAAACACCCCCUCGGAGGUAAAGACUGUUCCAGAUUAUCUGAGGGGUGCGUGGUCCAAUGGCAGAACACAAGGUCCUCCAAAAGGGAUGCCAUUCGCUGGAUCUUCUCCCUCACAGCACAAGGAGACAUCUACACUAUGCUUCCUAACAGUCUUAUUCAUGACCAUGGAGAGAAACAGACCCUUUAUAGACAGACAACCGAUUUGGGUAUUAUUUCUCAGUAUUUCUAACUGAGGCCAUUUUAAAUGUCUUAUUAUUUGAGGGAUCCCCUAUUUGAUCAUUCCAGCUUUGAACCCAGGCGAUGUAGUCUUAAGGGGUGAUUGGUUUUUGUAAAUGACAAUUAAUAAACUACAGUAAGCAGGAACACUAUCCCUUCCAUCAUAAAAUGUGGUGCUGUUUGUUGGCUCUUUGCUGUAGGCUCUCAGCACACACGGUUAAUGAGCCUCAGCAGACACUCAGAUCCAACAAGCAGCCCUACACUACAUUGCAAGUCAACUCUUUAAAACAAUGAGAUACUGUAUAUAAUAGAAACACAAUGUUAAAGUAUAAGCAGUUGUACUGUAUUUACUUCGUAUCUAUGAAACAAUUCAGCCUGGGACUCCUGUCAACACCACAGCACAAUUUGCUAUUGUAGACCUCUUAUCAUUGAAGCAUUUCUUGAAGGCAUGAAACAAUACCCAUUACUCACUGGUCAAAAACUGGUUUAAUCAAGAUUGUUUCCAUGUCAUUUCAACCCCAAAAUUAAAUGUGAUUACAUUGAAAACAUGGAAAAGUGAUUGGAUUAGCAAAAAGUAAUCAACGUAAGGGAAUUGUCUUUUUUUCACCCACCUUUUAACCUAAAUCCAAUGGACAUGGUGACAUUUCUUGUUGAUUUCACGUUGAAUUCACAUUUGUUGACAACUCAACCAAAUGUAAAAUCAACACUAGAUGUUGAAAUUGAAUCUGUACCCAGUGUGUACAUUGUGGUUGAGUUAUACAACAUUUGCACUUGGCACUAUACAUUUGAUAAUAUGUGAAUGUAUAUGUGAAUAUGUGAAUAAGCUUUGAUACUGGGAUUUUUGGGGGGUGAAUUUGGUUUAUUUCUGGAGUUUAUUUGUGGAAUGAUAGCCGCCCAGAAGCUACAACCUUUUUCGAGUAGGAGAAGGGGGGAUUUUUUUUUUUUAUGAUAAAGACUCACUUUUAAACUACAGUUACUUUUCCAUGUCGGGGGUGCCUUCAAGGACUGUAAUAAGGCCUCCUUGUGAACUGAAUUCCUUGUGCCUAAUACUGGUAGAAAGGUUUGUCAUAAAUUCACUCUGUUAAAGUGUUUGAAUAAAUGACUUUUUAAUUCACAUUUACUACUGGUUGGUUCCAUAAGUACAGGGACGGGGGCUUAAAUGAGUGCCUCAGCCUGCUGUCCUGAUUUGUCACACCUCUAAUGCAGACAUUCCAGAGGGCUUUGAAGUAGACAAAAUCAUCUUAUGAUCGUAAUUACAGUUAGAUUAAGACCAGUGGGGAUUUAUUCCGGAAUUUCAUCCUUUUUCUGAUGUGGUUAGUCUGAUGAGAACGUUAAUAGAAGAGGUAAUGGGCACAGCUAAGCCAGCCAAGUAGUAGAAGUAGUCGAAGGAGGUGUCCACUUCACUGGCUGUAGCAACAACAAUGCAAGAAAUAUGUUCUCUUGAAAGCUAAGAUUCAUUAUUUAAUGCAAGGUUUUUUGGAAGCACAGUUCGGUCAAUAUUUUUUAUUUUGCUAUAGGAUUCAAAACACUUACUCUUGCAGUAUGCUGCAUCAAAUGACCCAUUCUGUAUUUUCACUUGUAUAUAGAAUCCCUCCUUCAUGAGCACCAAUAUAAAGACCCUAAAGCUAGCCCAGUGAAGGCAACAGUAACAAUAAACCUCGCUCUGCU